rnacentral:rRNA from 1 species
UACGAAGGGGGGCUGCGUUGCUCGGAAUCACUGGGCGUAAAGGGUGCGUAGGCGGGUCUUAAGUCAGGGGUGAAAUCCUGGAGCUCAACUCCAGAACUGCCUUUGAUACUGAAGAUCUUGAGUUCGGGAGAGGUGAGUGGAACUGCGAGUGAGAGGUGAAAUCGUAGAUAUUCGCAAGAACACCAGUGGCGAAGGCGGCUCACUGGCCCGAUACUGACGCUGGAGGCACGAAA